UGUUUUAUUCUUUAUCAUAUCUGUUUUGAUUUAUUUGUAUACUGUCGAUUUCUAUUCAAGGGACCUCCUUUUCAUCCUCAUAGAAACAGGUGUGAUAUCAACUUCUCAGUUGUGUGUAAUGUAGUUUCUCAUAGCAGUGCAUUUCCUGUUUUUUGCAGUUUACAGGACAUCGCCAUGGCAACGCUUUCAAGUUUUGACAGUUUUGUCAUUGCACUUUUCGUCAAGUCCCAAAUUGAACUUUGAAAACAUUUUGGCCUCAGGUAAACCUGAACCUGGCCAAAAAUCCUUACUGGAGGAAAUCAGUUCAUGCCCACAACUUUUGUCUAACAGUUCAAGUCGGUGUACAGCUUGCAUCUGCUUGAAUAGUUGCAGCGAGUGGUUAUGUUCAGGAUGAAAGGCUCAGCGUUUGUUCGUGUUGUUCUCCUGCAUGAAUGAGUUUAUCUCUGUG